rnacentral:rRNA from 1 species
UAACGAUGCGGGACUCAUCCGAGGCCCCGUAAUCGGAAUGAGUACACUUUAAAUCCUUUAACGAGGACCCAUUGGAGGGCAAGUCUGGUGCCAGCAGCCGCGGUAAUUCCAGCUCCAAUAGCGUAUAUUAAAGUUGUUGCGGUUAAAAAGCUCGUAGUUGAACUUGUGUGCCACGCUGUCGGUUCAUCGCUCGCGAUGUUUAACUGACAUGAUUGUGGGACGUCCUACCGGUGGGCUCGUCCUUCGGGGCAGUCCAACUAAUAUCCCAUCGCGGUUCUCUUUACUGAGUGUCGAGGUGGGCCGGUACGUUUACUUUGAACAAAUUAGAGUGCUCAAAGCAGGCUAUUAUUCGCCUGAAUAAUCUGUGCAUGGAAUAAUGGAAUAGGACCUCGGUUCUAUUUUGUUGGUUUCCGGAACCCCGAGGUAAUGAUUAAUAGGGACAGAUGGGGGCAUUCGUAUUGCGACGUUAGAGGUGAAAUUCUUGGAUCGUCGCAAGACGGACAGAAGCGAAAGCAUUUGCCAAAAAUGUUUUCAUUAAUCAAGAACGAAAGUUAGAGGUUCGAAGGCGAUCAGAUACCGCCCUAGUUCUAACCAUAAACGAUGCCAGCUAGCGAUCCGCCGAAGUUCCUCCGAUGACUCGGCGGGCAGCUUCCGGGAAACCAAAGCUUUUGGGUUCCGGGGGAAGUAUGGUUGCAAAGCUGAAACUUAAAGGAAUUGACGGAAGGGCACCACCAGGAGUGGAGCCUGCGGCUUAAUUUGACUCAACAC